rnacentral:rRNA from 1 species
UACCAGCACCCCGAGUGGUCGGGACGUUUAUUGGGCCUAAAGCAUCCGUAGCCGGUUCUACAAGUCUUCCGUUAAAUCCACCUGCUUAACAGAUGGGCUGCGGAAGAUACUAUGGAGCUAGGAGGCGGGAGAGGCAAGCGGUACUCGAUGGGUAGGGGUAAAAUCCGUUGAUCCAUUGAAGACCACCAGUGGCGAAGGCGGCUCACUGGCUCAUUACUGACGCUGAGGCACGAAAGCGUGGGGAGCAAACAGG